UACGUGAGGUGGCAAGCGUUUGUCCGGAUUUACUGGGGCGUAAAGGGUGCGUAGGCGGCGGCGUUAAGUCGGGUGUGAAACUCUCGGGCUUAACUCCGAAACUGCAUUCGAUACUGCCGUGCUUGAGGACUGGAGAGGAGACGUGGAAAUUUACGGUGUAGCGGUGAAAUGCGUAGAUAUCGUAAGGAAGACCAGUGGCGAAGGCGGGUCUC
rnacentral:rRNA from 1 species